rnacentral:rRNA from 1 species
UGGAAUAGGACCCUGUCCUCCUAUUUUCAGUUGGUUUGCCGCGAGGACCAGGGUAAUGAUUAAUAGGGAUAGUUGGGGGCAUUAAUAUUUAAUUGUCAGAGGUGAAAUUCUUGGAUUUAUGAAAGAUUAACUUCUGCGAAAGCAUCUGCCAAGGAUGUUUUCAUUAAUCAAGAACGAAAGUUAGGGGAUCGAAGACGAUCAGAUACCGUCGUAGUCUUAACCAUAAACGAUGCCGACCAGCGAUUAGGAGACGUUGAAUACAAAACACCACCAUGCGCAUUGCGGUCGUCUUUGGUGUCGCUCACAAGGCGGCACCGGGGCGGCUUAGCUCGCAUGGCACCGGUGAAUGA